rnacentral:misc_RNA from 1 species
UCUAUAUAAUAAUUUUAAAAUCUGGAAAUUGAAAUCAACAGCAACCAAAGUCGCUACAAGAUCAUUUAACUUCCUAUCAAAUCUAUCCUCUUUCAACUGUCCAUGUUUGAGAAAAAUACAAAGAAGAUAAAUGCUUCUAAAUUUCCUAAGCCCCUUUUAAUAGCUGAAAACGAUGUAGGAAUAGGAAAAGUAAAUCAAAAUCUAGGAAAGAAGACAUUUCAUUAUGCGAUAACCAAG